AUUGAACGCUGGCGUCAGGCCUAACACAUGCAAGUCGAACGAGUGGCGGACGGGUGAGUAAUGUCUGAGAAACUGCCUGAUGGCGGGGGAUAACUACUGGAAACGGUAGCUAAUACCGCAUACCAUCAGAUGUUCCCAGAUGUGAUUAGCUUGUUGGUGGGGUACCGGCUCACCAAGGCGACGAUCCCUAGCUGGGCUGAGAGGAUGACAAGCCACACUGGAACUGAGACACGGUCCAGACUCCUACGGGAGGCAGCAGUGGGGAAUAUUGCACAAGUGGCGCAAGCCUGAUGCAGCCAUGCCGCGUGUAUGAAGAAGGCCUUAGGGUUGUAAAGUACUUUCAGCGGGGAGGCGUUACCCGCAGAAGAAGCACCGGCUAACUCCGUGCCAGCAGCCGCGGUAAUAC
rnacentral:rRNA from 1 species